rnacentral:rRNA from 1 species
AGUGAACGCUGGCGGUAGGCCUAACACAUGCAAGUCGAACGGCAGCACAGAGGAGCUUGCUCCUUGGGUGGCGAGUGGCGGACGGGUGAGGAAUACAUCGGAAUCUACUCUGUCGUGGGGGAUAACGUAGGGAAACUUACGCUAAUACCGCAUACGACCUACGGGCGAAAGCAGGGGAUCUUCGGACCUUGCGCGAUUGAAUGAGCCGAUGUCGGAUUAGCUAGUUGGCGGGGUAAAGGCCCACCAAGGCGACGAUCCGUAGCGGGUCUGAGAGGAUGAUCAGCCACACUGGAACUGAGACACGGUCCAGACCCCUACGGGAGGCAGCAGUGGGGAAUAUUGGACAAUGGGCGCAAGCCUGAUCCAGCCAUACCGCGUGGGUGAAGAAGGCCUUCGGGUUGUAAAGCCCUUUUGUUGGGAAAGAAGUCCAUCUGGUUAAUACCCGGGUGGGAUGACGGUACCCAAAGAAUAAGCACCGGCUAACUUCGUGCCAGCCGCCGCGGUAA